AGUUCAUCAUCCACCUCAUAGUUGUAUCCUUGAGCACUGUCUGUAGGAGCAGAGGUCAGAGGUCAAAAUUUUAGAUAAAAGGCUUGUCAGGUGUUCUGACCAUCUGUGCUACUCAUCAACCCGUCCUACCUUGUGGUAAUGCGCAUGCACACAGUGAUGCUACGUCACAUACUGCUUACUCAGCAGAUUUCUUAUCAAUACAUCCUACCUGUGGAAGUUUCAUUUCAUCUGUUUUAUUUAGUCAAAGAUUAAGGUAAGCUUUAAUUUAUUUAUUUUAUACCUGGCUUUCAUUUAGCUGCUGUAUUACUUCAUGUUUUAAGUUUACAUGACAGGCAGCUUGUAUUUGCAAAUGGCUUUAUUUGCCGUCCGCAAUGUCGUUACUAUACUGUAUACUGUAAGCAAGAAAGUCAUUGCUUGUCCUCAACCAUGUGAAUCAGGACAAAAUACAUUGGUUUUGUGGGACAUUUUGUGCCUAUUUAAAAUAUAGAGGCUUUAAUUGUUUUUUUAAACUGUGCCGAGUAGAGCAUGCUGGUAGCGAUAUUGAAGCUGUUUAUGUCUAUGGUGUAAUAUUAGUGUAUAUUAAUCAUAGGCUAUCAUUUUAGGUGCACAGUGACCUGCACAGUUUGGUGGACACAUUUUGGCUGCGUUUCAUUUGAUAAAGACUGUCAUACAAUGUAUUAAUGUGCAAAAAAAGUUUGCGGGGAUCUGUAUUUGUAGAUGUCUGUUUGAUAAAAACUUACCUUGUCUGAUACUGUUUCAUUCUUACAAACACUUACGAUUAGAAAUAUAUUACAGUGGUAUGACACUGACUAGCUUUGUAUUUUUUAAAAAAUAUAUUUUUUAAAAGGUAGGAUAUUCUGAUGCAGGGUCUUAAUGCACCAAUAUGAGCUACUGUUUCUCUACCUCUCUACUUUGUAGAAGAGGUAGAAUUUUUUGAUGAAAGAGUUUUAGUGCGUCAACAUGUGCUACUUCUGUAUUUUAUUACGAUAUUCAAAUGAAGGAAUCUGCUGCAGCAAAAUGUGCUAUUUACGUAUUUACCAGGUAGGAUAUUUGGAUGGAGUUUUGGUAGAUCAACAUGUGGUACCAUGUGUAUUUUAUGAAGGUAGGAUUCUAAUAUGAGAUUUUAGUGCAUCUAAAUGUACUAGCUUUACAUAUUAAAACAGGCACGCUAUUCUCAAGAAGGAUAUUAGUGCAUUUACACAAGCAGGUAUUUUAAACGGGUUCGGGUGGUUUUAGAAAAGUUUUCGUCAUUCACAUAUUUUUAUGCUACGUAUCACUGCUAAGCACCACUUAAAUAAUGAUUUCCGAUUAACAUUGACACUGACUGAUAUGGUCUUUGGUAUCUAAACAUGACGACAGCGGUUUUCGAAAGGUAGCUGUCUGUCGGUCACGGUGUUAAAAGAUUUUCUAUCGUAGCGCUGACCUGACGAGGUAGCACAGAUAGU